CAAAUGUCACCUUUAAUAGGGUGGACUAUAAAGGUGAUUAUUGGGUUCAUCAUGAAUCGUGUGAGAAAUAUGAGUGAUCUAGAUGGAAUUUAACCAUCCUAUAUAUUAUGGGUGAUAUCCAUAGGCCUCUUGAUUGAGUAGGACUAUGAAAUGCAUGGUCAUGCUCAAAUAGUGAUUUGUUUCAUAUAGUCUACUCAUUGAUCAAGAAAACUCAGAUUAAAUUAUGAAGAGUAUGACACAUUCCAUGACUCGAGUUUAAUCUAGGAUAUUAAGGUUAAAAGGAUUAAAUUACAUUGAAACAUUGGUCACGAAAAGGUUGCAU
rnacentral:lncRNA from 1 species